rnacentral:rRNA from 1 species
CCUACGGGAGGCAGCAGUGGGGAAUAUUGCACAAUGGGGGGAACCCUGAUGCAGCGACGCCGCGUGAGUGAAGACGUAUCUCGGGAUGUAAAGCUCUAUCAGCAGGGAAGAAAAUGACGGUACCUGACUAAGAAGCCCCGGCUAAAUACGUGCCAGCAGCCGCGGUAAUAAGUCGGGGGCAAGCGUUAUCCGGAUUUACUGGGGGUAAAGGGAGCGUAGGCGGCAGAGCAAGUCUGAAGUGAAAGUCCGCGGCCCAACCGCGGGACUGCUUUGGAAACUGGCCGGCUAGAGUGCAGGAGAGGUAAGCGGAAUUCGUAGUGUAGCGGUGAAAUGCGUAGAUAUUAGGAGGAACACCAGUGGCGAAGGCAGCUUACUGGACUGUAACUGACGUUGAGGCUCGAAAGCGUGGGGAGCAAACAGGAUUAGAUACCCCAGUAGUC